rnacentral:rRNA from 1 species
UUAUAUUCAGGAUGAAGCAUUGGCUAAUGAACUAUUCGGGAAAUUCUGGAUGGAACAAGCAGAACCUGAGGUUGGACAACUUUAUUUGAGAGGAUCUGCUCUUAGUACGAGAGGACCGGAGUGGACGAACCGCUGGUGUUCCGGUUGUGCCGCCAGGCGCAUCGCCGGGUAGCUAUGUUCGGAAUGGAUAACCGCUGAAAGCAUCUAAGCGGGAAGCCAACCUCAAGAUAGAUCUCCCGGGUCUUUAUGGCCCCCAAAGGUCUCUAGAAGACUACUAGUUCGUUAGGCAGGAUGUGAAAGUGGGGUAACUCAUGAAGCUGACCUGUACUAAUCGACCGGGUGGUUUAACUUA